CACAGAGAGGAGAUAUCGGCCUUGCCUUCCUCACAUCCCUUCCUUUCUCUUCAGAUCCUGGGGCAAGACUUCUGAAGUCUGGGAUGUUUGCCCUGCUAACUGGAUGCAUGUGGAGCUGAGAGGAGCACUGAAUUGUAUAGAGGAUUUGAGAGGUGUCACUGGAGUGGCCUCCUGGGAAAGCUGACCAUUGAGCAUCCUGGUUUCUCCCCGGAAGUCUCAGCCAGGAGGGCCAGAGAGCUCUCUGGGGGUAGGAGUGGUGGUUGAGUAAAGCAAAGACUGGGGACAGACACACAGAAGCCCUGAGCUCAGUUCCCAGCACUCACCACAAAGUAGGUGUGGUCUGUUCCUGUAAUCUCAGCACCUGAGACCUGGUGAAACUGGAUUAACAACAACAAAACCAAGCAACAAUAACAAAAAUCCCAAACAACAACAACAAUGAUAACAACAAAGCUGUGUCUGGAAGCUGAGGGCUUCUUUCUCUUUUAAAAACAUGUGUGGUUUCUAGUGGUUCUUAGCACCACUAUGGACCUGUUUCUCAUGGCUGAUCUGAUCUGGCUUCCCGGGGUCUUAGCCUCUUGCUCCCACUCACCCAGAGUUCCCACUAUCCCUGGCUUUCUUUUGAUUGCUCCAAUAGGCCAGGCUACUUCCCACCCCAAGGGCUUUGCUGAUGCCUUCUGUCCUGUUCUCUCCAUCUGACUCCCCUUCCCUUUCCUAGAGCGUCAAGUAGAGGCCACCUCAUGCGUACCCUGUAACCUCAGCUGUAACAGGAUGUUCUGUGGAGAGUUUGUCUUCUCCCUGGGAUGGUAAACUCCAAGGACAGAGCCCUUUCUUCCAAGGGAUGAAGAUAAAUAAACUCAAUGAUGUCGAUUGUGUGGAUAAUUACAUCUUAGGCUCACUGCACUUUGGAAGGGGCACCAUGAAGUCUUCUCAGAUCCUAGGACGUUCUCAGUUUAGAGAGGGGAAAUAAUACACA
rnacentral:lncRNA from 1 species